rnacentral:rRNA from 1 species
UGCCAGCAGCCGCGGUAAGACGAACCGUGCAAACGUUAUUCGGAAUCACUGGGCAUAAAGGGCGCGUAGGCGGCUCCAAAAGUCAGGGGUGAAAUCCAGCAGCUUAACUGUCGCAGUGCCUUUGAUACUGUGGAGCUAGAGGGAGGUAGGGGUCUGUGGAACUUCCGGUGGAGCGGUGAAAUGCGUUGAUAUCGGAAGGAACGCCGGUGGCGAAAGCGACGGACUGGAUCUCUUCUGACGCUGAGGCGCGAAAGCCAGGGGAGCAAACGGGAUUAGAUA